rnacentral:misc_RNA from 1 species
AAGUCCUUGAUCAACUCUAAGAUUGAAGUUGAUGAAGAUCCCCCUUCCAUCCCUGCCUUCCUCGCCAUUCCUGCCACGUCUUUCACCUUCUUUCUUACCUCAUUAUCACUUUCCAUUACACAUUUCACAGCUCUUUCCACCUCCUCUGCCUUCGCAAGAUCUCCAUUUGCCCUGUAAUCCAAUUUCAGCUCCACUGCCAGCCCCAGUUCCUUCACCAUUGUAAAUGCAUUAAGCUGCUGCUCUGCAUAUAUAGGCAAGGUCACAAUAGGCACCCCAUACCAAAAGCUCUCCAAGAUAGAAUUCCACCCACAAUGAGAUACGAACCCUCCUAUGGCCUUGUGGGCUAGCACCUCUACCUGUGGUACCCACCCACAUAUCAUUCCUCUCCCUUCUAUUCCUUCCAAGAAUCCUUCUGGCAACAUCUCCUCUGGGUUCUUGAAUUUAGGGACUUCAUCUUGUACUGGAGGAACUCUCAUAGACCACAAGAAUCUGUACCCACUCUGCUCCAGACCGAGAGCUAUUUCUUUCACUUGGGAUAUACUAAAUGCCCCUGCGCUUCCAAAACACAAGAACGCCACAGAUGAUUCAGGUUGCUCAUCGAGCCACUUUUUGGUCUUGUCCCAUUGACCAUGGUCCAUGUCUGGAUGUGGAUGACCCUUCAAGUUCAGCACCGGUCCAACCGGGUAAAUCUUAGGGUUCUGGCCAUUACGAAGGGACUCAAGUGCAUGAGAUUCGAGCUCGGUCAAUGUAUUAACUAUAAUACCUUUUGCGUCCUUGAACCUUUGAGCUACCUUAACAUAAGCAGCAUAACCACCAUGCUUGUUGAACACAGCUUCAGGCAAAACUCUUGGAGGAACAGGAUUGGCAAAACCUGGAAUUAAAACCUCAGAAUCAGAAAAGCUAAAUUCAGUGCCAAUUUGUUCAUGGCGUGAGGGUAGAUAAAGCAUGAGACUCAAGAAUCCUAAACCGGAUGUCAAGAAUAUAAAAGAAGGCAAGCCCAAUUCAUCUCCAAUGUCAAUCAUGGACACGCAAAAGAAAUCAAGAAUUAUCCCUGCAACUGGAAACGAAUCUGAGCUAGAUCGGGAAGAUAUGAUAUCAGAGACAAUUUUUU